rnacentral:rRNA from 1 species
UACGGAGGAGGCAAGCGUUAUCCGGAAUUAUUGGGCGUAAAGCGCACGUAGGCGGUUUGUUAAGUCGGAUGUGAAAUCCCUCGGCUCAACUGAGGAAGUGCAUCCGAAACUGGCAAGCUUGAGUACGAAAGAGGGUCGCGGAAUUCCCGGUGUAGAGGUGAAAUUCGUAGAUAUCGGGAGGAACACCGGUGGCGAAGGCGGCGACCUGGGUCGAUACUGACGCUGAGGUGCGAAAGCGUGGGGAGCAAACAGG